rnacentral:rRNA from 1 species
GUGAGGAAUAUUGGUCAAUGGGCGGGAGCCUGAACCAGCCAAGUCGCGUGAAGGAUGAAGGUUUUAUGAAUUGUAAACUUCUUUUGCAGGGGAAUAAAGUACGGUACGUGUACCGUUUUGUAUGUACUCUGCGAAUAAGGAUCGGCUAACUCCGUGCCAGCAGCCGCGGUAAUACGGAGGAUCCAAGCGUUAUCCGGAUUUAUUGGGUUUAAAGGGUGCGCAGGCGGGUUGAUAAGUCAGCGGUGAAAGUUUGCAGCUUAACUGUAAAAUUGCCGUUGAAACUGUCGAUCUUGAGUGCAAAUGAGGUAAGCGGAAUGUGUUGUGUAGCGGUGAAAUGCUUAGAUAUAACACAGAACACCGAUUGCGAAGGCAGCUUACUGGGAUGCAACUGACGCUCAUGCACGAAAGCGUGGGGAUCAAACAGGAUUAGAUACCCCGGUAGUCC